rnacentral:rRNA from 1 species
AAAUCCGUUUCCCAUAAGGCUGAGCUGUGAUGGCGAGCGAAAUAUAGUAGCGAAGUUCCUGAUUCCACACUGCCAAGAAAAGCCUCUAGCGAGGUGAGAGGUGCCCGUACCGCAAACCGACACAGGUAGGCGAGGAGAGAAUCCUAAGGUGAUCGAGAGAACUCUCGUUAAGGAACUCGGCAAAAUGACCCCGUAACUUCGGGAGAAGGGGUGCUCUGUUAGGGUGCAAGCCCGAGAGAGCCGCAGUGAAUAGGCCCAGGCGACUGUUUAGCAAAACACAGGUCUCUGCGAAGCCGUAAGGCGAAGUAUAGGGGCUGACGCCUGCCCGGUGCUGGAAGGUUAAGAGGAGCGCUUAGCGUAAGCGAAGGUGCGAAUUGAAGCCCCAGUAAACGGCGGCCGUAACAAUAACGGUCCUAAGGUAGCGAAAUUCCUUGUCGGGUAAGUUCCGACCCGCACGAAAGGCGCAACGAUCUGGGCACUGUCUCAACGAGAGACUCGGUGAAAUUAUAGUACCUGUGAAGAUGCAGGUUACCCGCGACAGGACGGAAAGACCCCGUGGAGCUUUACUGCAGCCUGAUAUUGAAUGUUGGUACAGCUUGUACAGGAUAGGUAGGAGCCUUGGAAACCGGAGCGCCAGCUUCGGUGGAGGCAUCGGUGGGAUACUACCCUGGCUGUAUUGACCUUCUAACCCGCCGCCCUUAUCGGGCGGGGAGACAGUGUCAGGUGGGCAGUUUGACUGGGGCGGUCGCCUCCUAAAAGGUAACGGAGGCGCCCAAAGGUUCCCUCAGAAUGGUUGGAAAUCAUUCGCAGAGUGUAAAGGCACAAGGGAGCUUGACUGCGAGACCAACAAGUCGAGCAGGGACGAAAGUCGGGCUUAGUGAUCCGGUGGUUCCGCAUGGAAGGGCCAUCGCUCAACGGAUAAAAGCUACCCCGGGGAUAACAGGCUUAUCUCCCCCAAGAGUCCACAUCGACGGGGAGGUUUGGCACCUCGAUGUCGGCUCAUCGCAUCCUGGGGCUGUAGUCGGUCCCAAGGGUUGGGCUGUUCGCCCAUUAAAGCGGUACGCGAGCUGGGUUCAGAACGUCGUGAGACAGUUCGGUCCCUAUCCGUCGCGGGCGCAGGAAAUUUGAGAGGAGCUGUCCUUAGUACGAGAGGACCGGGAUGGACGCACCGCUGGUGUACCAGUUGUUCUGCCAAGGGCAUCGCUGGGUAGCUAUGUGCGGACGGGAUAAGUGCUGAAAGCAUCUAAGCAUGAAGCCCCCCUCAAGAUGAGAUUUCCCAUUCCGCAAGGAAGUAAGAUCCCUGAAAGAUGAUCAGGUUGAUAGGUCUGAGGUGGAAGUGUGGCGACACAUGGAGCUGACAGAUACUAAUCGAUCGAGGACUUAACC